AUGCUCACUUUGGCAGCACAUAUACUAAAAUUGGAAUGAUACAGAGAAGAUUAGCAUGGUCCCUGUGCAAGGACAACACUCAGAUUCAUAAAGCUUUCUGUAUUUUU
rnacentral:snRNA from 1 species